UACGAGGGGGGCGAGCGUUGUUCGGAAUUAUUGGGCGUAAAGGGCGCGUAGGCGGCCUGGCAAGUGGAAGGUGAAAUCCCUCGGCUUAACCGAGGAACUGCCUUCCAAACUGCUUGGCUUGAGUCCGGGAGAGGUGAGUGGAAUUCCCAGUGUAGCGGUGAAAUGCGUAGAUAUUGGGAGGAACACCAGUGGCGAAGGCGGCUCACUGGACCGGAACUGACGCUGAUGCGCGAAAGCGUGGGGAGCAAACGGG
rnacentral:rRNA from 1 species